GCUCCCCAGCGCGUCCGGGAAGGGCCGCCCUAAAUGAGCCGGCAGCACCCACAGGCAGUCGGGCCGGACGCAAAGACAGAGGUGAUCAGACGGACACAGCAACUAAACGCCAAGCCCACCAAGUACGCUUGAAAAAAUAAGAGCAUCCGACGCGCGAUGGAAGAAUCGUCGAGACUGCGGAGGCAGCCGUGAAGGAGAGGGAGGCCAGGUCCGGUCCGGGUCAGAGCCUGAAAUGGGUUAGAGACCCAGCUGACCAUAGGAUUGGAAAACUGAAGGUACCGCCUGAGGGCUGGGUAUUGGGAGCCAGCAGCAAGGAGCCACCAACUCAUUCUGUGACCUCGGUCCUGCGAGGGGCUCGAGAAGAUGACUGACGUGGGCCCUGGGCAGAGAAGGACUUGGGGAAGCACAGGGAAGUGUGGGCUCCUAGCGACGACACAGCCCUGAGAUCGCCGACCGUCACAAACAGACCGGACCAUGUAAGACUUUAAUGAUGCGACACACCCCCACGUGGGGACUGCCGGAUCAUCUUCCUGAUUUUUAUGUAAAUCUAAAUCUGUAAAAUAAAAUAAUUCUUUUCAAAAGCUAACAGCUUUGCAAACAACCUCCCGCUGGACAUCCCCAGAGGGUCCCCAUCACCGGGAACAAAAGCACACCCUGACCAGCCUCCCCUGGGCUCUUUAGCCGCAGAGGCCCUGCCCAGCUCCUGCAGACCUGGACACGCCACCCCAGUGUGACGCCCGCGGGUCCAAGACCACACACACGGAACACGGCCGCCGGGCUCACCAACCUCUGCACCGCGUGCCUGCGCACACCUGACUCACCUUCCAGCCCAGAAGCCUCACCUGGUACAUCUGACCUGGGCUUCAAGAGUACCUGAGAAAGGUCUGGAAGGAGGGUGCCCUGGCCGCACUGCCCAGGCUGGUGGGCCCUCAGGGGAGGCACAAGCACCCCUAAAGCUCCUGGUGCAGCGGCACAGCCUCCCUGGCCUCAUGUGCCCAGAGCACUUCCACUGCCACCACGAUGCAGGGGCGAUUAAGCGGAUUGGAUGUUCUGGAGAGCAGACGUGAGUGCUUCAGACGCCGGCUUUAGAUAACGAGGACAGCCAGGUUUUUACUUCAUCCUGCUUGGACUGUAAUCUGCGAGGAUGUCACUUGGAGCAUUUUCUCUCUGAAAGAGUGACAACGGGAGGUUUGCACCCCACUCCGGGCCGCUGUGUCCGUACGGGGAAUCUGCACGUUGCCACUGCAGAGCCUCUCGCUGGGUGGGGGACAGUGGGGAGGCCCAAUGGGGCACGCAAGCAGGAAGGGUAAACCUCAGCCUCGGACAGAAGGGCCUCGGGACCGGCUUGUCCACCCUAAGGCAAACCCCUACUGUCCACCACCAGGCGUGGCUCGUGCACAGGAGACAGGACUGUCCUCCCUGGGGGAAGCUGCCCCUCCCUGCUGACCCCAGGUGCAGAGGUAAAGCCCCCAGUAGGGAAACAAAAUUCGAGGAACAUGGGGUCCCUGUACCCACUCCUGAGGCUCUUUCUACCGCUCUUUCAACUCCUGUCCUCUGCUACCUCCCUCAACCCAUCCCCACGCAGGAGGCUGGGAUGGGGAAGGGGGGUUCCAUCCACAUGUUCGGCCGAACCCCCAGCCCGCCCCACCCUGGCUGCCCCCGCUUCAGCUCAGCUCUGCCCUCUGCCCAGCCUCUCGGGAAUGCAGGGCCUCUCACAUGGUAGGCUCUGGGGACCCCUCACUCUGCAUGGAAACACUAAUCUAGGUUCUACAGCUAUGUGGGUAUGAAGGUGACCACAGCCCAGGCUGGAUCAUGCUCUCCUAUGAGCUUAAAAGGAUCUGAAACAUUUUCGUGGCCCUUCAAUGUGUCAAGGCUGCUGGUGCUGAGCCCGCCAUGCCCAGCCCGGAAGUAGCCCCAGAAGAGGUGGUCCUGCGCUUGCCGCCACUGCCUGCCUUCCUCAUUGAGUUCAGGGCUCAGAGGGAAAAGCAGGCAGGUUACUGGGCCCUCAGAGACCCUGUGCCUCACCAACCGCAUUGCGGGGCUGUGUGGGCAGCCAGCCCACAGCACAGGGGAUGCAUGCGGCACCCGAGGACCGGAGCCUGCCCUCCGACAGGCUGUCCCUAGCCCCUCGUGGCUCAGCAGGACAAGGUGGCGUGGGGACAAUCCCAGGGGAGGCCAAGCCUGCAAGCACAUGCCCGGGUGUUUGCAGGGAACACAGGCUCUGCCAAGGCGAUGAUGGAAACAGUGACUCACAGCAGGAGCCACCCCAGGCCCACCCCCCUCCAGGUGAGGCAGAAGGUGACACGGCAGUCAUUCCCCGCAAGGAGCCGCCCCUUGCCUCCAGCACCCACCCUCCAUGCAACAUUCCAGAAACAGCAAAGCAGCCCCCCACCCCGACCCCAGCUGCAGCGGUCUGCCGGGCGACGCACUGUGGCUCUGCUCCCAUGCGUGUCCCUGGUAUGAAGCCUCCCCAGGGGGUGUGAUCUGUGCCCCAGGCAGCCGGGGUCAGAGCUGUCAGGUCGCGGAGAUGCCGGGGAUGCGCGCUUCCAUCUGCACCCGCUGGCCUUCCCCGGAGGUGGCUGUGCAGGGCGGAGGCACAGGUGGCUCCUGCAGAAGCUCUGCCCUCGCUGACGGGGAGCUGAGGUUCAGGGGGCUCUCCAGGACUAGGGCCCAGUCACUGCUUCCAAGAGCCAGGUAGCUCCCCUCCCGGUAUGCCCACCUGGGGCCUCAGGGUGGUCCUUCUCCUUUUCUGAAGCAGCAGGAGGUGGCUUGUGGGCCCCUCACUGCCCAGGAAGGAGUUGGAAGGAGUUCUGACCCACGGCACCACUCAGCCCUUGGGACCUCCCCGCAGGCUGUUCUGGGCACCCCCUGCCCCACGUGGAGCCGGUAAGCACAGGUCGCCCAGGUAAGCUCCAGGGAAGAAGGUUCUUGUUGUCACUGAGCUCAUCUGUGCUGGGGUCACCAUCCCACGCUGAAUCUACCCUUUUUGGUGACCAACUACCCGGUCCCCCUUCUGCCCAUCUCCUGUGUCUUAGGACUUAAAGUCCAUCUAAACCCAGUGAGGAGAGAGAAGCCAUCCUCCUCCCAAACCCCCUCACCAGCUGGCAGGCAGGAGGGCCUGACCCCUGAGGGUGCACUGUGUCCUUGGCCGCACGGCCCUUCCCACUGGCCUCUGGUAGCUCGGGGUGGCUGGUCAUGGACAGACUGGCCGCUGUGGCUCAGAGAGAACUGCGAACUGAAUGAUGCCAGGCAGAAGCUCUGCACGCACGCAGACCUGGGCUGACCUGCCUCUUCCAGCUGUGUGUCCUUGAGCAACUUUCUUCACCUCUCCAAGCCUCCGUCUGCCGCUCUGUAGAAGAGGGCUCAAGGUGUGACGACUGUUAGCAGUGACAUCCACUAAGGUCUGCUUUGCUGCACAUGACAGAGCCAUCCCAGCACCAAGGCAUCAGCAGCACAGAAGCAUCUUUCCUUCGUGAGAAAGUCUGAAGGUGACUGCAUCCAGGCAGUGAGGCUGCUCCACAACGUUCUCAGCGACCCAGACUCAUUGAUCUUAUGGGCCGAGGGUCAGCCCCUUGGCCCCACUUAGCUGCCAGGAAGGGAGGCUGGGAAAUGCCAUCUCUCGCUGUGCUCAGCUACCUGCUCAGCUACAACUCAGGGUGUGCUCAAGGGAGGGAGGGGAGCGGGGUACGCACCAGUUUGAGGCAGGCCCACAGUUACAGACGCUGCUACUGCUGACGUCCCAGGACCGCCCACAACACAGCCUUCCCGCUGCGGUCAGCUCGCACCUCCCACCCCACACACGCCAGCCCCCAGUCCAGGGGCAGGGCCUCGCUGCAGCCUGGAGAAGCCAGGCAGCACAGGGAUGACAGCCACACCCACAGCACCAGCUGAAGCAUGGGGCUGGUGGGCACAGCCCAGGGUGAGGACAGAGUGAGUGACUGUUAGUUUCCCAGGACCGCAGUGACAAUGUACCACAGGCGGUGGGGGGUGGGAGGGGCUUUGGCAACAGGUCUGCGGGCAGAAGUCUGAGGUCAAGGUGUCUGCAGGGUCUGCACCCCUCCCCGGCUGCCAGUUUGCUGGUGGCCCUCGCAGCACCUUGAACCUCCACCUUCAUCCUGUGUGUGUGUCUAUGUCCAAACGUCCCCUUGUUAUAAGGAUGCAGGUCAUACUGGAUUGAGGCCCACCUGCUCCAGUGUGACUUCGUCUCAACUAACCUAUUAGCAAAGACCUUAUUUCCAAAUACGGUCAUGUUUUGAGAUUCUGGGGAUUUCAUAUGAAUGUGGGGGGAAUUUUCUAAGGAAAUGUGAGAUUCUAGAGGUUACAUCUGAAUGUGGGGGGCACUAUUCAACCCGUAACAGCAGAUGGAUAAACACCAGCACAUCACUCAGUUCUGACAAAUGCAAAUCCCAUUAUGGCUGCCGCCCCAGGCCUCCCCUCAGCCCCUGCUUGUCGGUGCCCAGCGCCACACACCCCAGA